AAAAGAUCAGGCUCUCUUUCUACCUUUGUAAACUUUCAUAAAUCAUAUUUUUAUCUUAUUGUGAGAACUAUAUGGUUUACAGCUUCAGCUUUUCUCUGCUGUUUUGUUUAGUGUUCAGUUGAGAGGAUAAUUGAAAACAAAUUUCCCUCCUUUCUCUUUGAGCUCAGCACACCUCAGAAGUUCUUUCAGAAAUAAUGAGUUUGCAAUGAGCCAGCCUUUAUGCACACAGCAUAAACACUUCAUGGGUUUAGCCACAUGACUUGAUAUGGCCAAAGAGGGUAGCAGUUGCAACAUGCAAGUUCCAAGCCUCCUCCUUAAGAGGCACCCUGUUUUCUCCUUGUCCUCAAACUUUACUAUUAAUAUGAAAAAGACAAGGUGUCCCAGGUAGCCUGCUGGGCCCAGAAUAAUGAGAAAUACGUGGUGCAGACUUGGAUCUGACUCAUGACCAAUGACCAGGCCCAGUUUGGCCCAGCCUGGAUCAGCCCAACUCUGGGCACGUAAGUGAGACAUAAGGGCUUAUUGUUAUGUCAUUGAGAUUUUGUUGUGAAUAGCACAGCAACAGCUUGCUUUUCCUAAUAUCACCAACUAUGGAUAUAGACAGAGUCACAGGACAGAUGCUAUCUCAUUUUUGUUGAUUCUUACACCCACUUUUCCUCCAAAGGCUCAGCUCUAUGCCCUAGGUAUUUCUGAAAACCUCUGGGGAUGGCUCAUGUGUAACCACAAAGGAGCUUCCAUGAAGCUUUGGUGCUUCAGAGACCAUGUGGAGAUAGAGAUGCCACCGGAGCUUCAACUGUUCCAGCUGAUAGUCAUUGGAGUCCUCCAGGCUGAGUACCAGUCACAUGACUGAGCCAGCCUUCCACAGACUCUAGCUCUAGCCACCAUCUGUCUGCAACUACGUGAGAGACACAAAUGCAAACCACCUUGCUGAGCCCUGCUAACUCUCAGGGAGGUGUGGGGUAAAAGGGAAAUAAUUGGUGUUACUUCAAGCUACUAGUUUGGGGUGGCUUUUUAUGCAGAAUACGUAGCUGAGCAACUGCCAGCUUCUUAUUCCACCGGGUGAGAGAAAUGAGGCUCAGCCAUGUGAGCCAAGCUAUUCUUUUCUGUGGAAUUGUCUAAGCUGGGAGGCAUUAUGUUGUUGUGUUGUCAGGGAGAAUGUCUGAUCAUGCUUUCCUUGGUGUCACCAUCAACCUAUGCUGUCUUCCCUGGGGUUCCUUCUUCCUGUCUAAUCUGUAGUUAUCAGUUCACAGGGGUCACUUUGGUCUCUCCCUCUUCCUGAACCUAAGGGCCUUUCUAGUCUAUUGACUUUUUUUUUUUAAGAUUUUAUUUAUUUACCCAUGGGAAACACACACACAGAGAGAGAGGCAGAGACACAGGCAGAGGGAGAAGCAGGCUCCAUGCAGGAAGCCUGAUGUGGGACUCAAUCCUGGGUCUCCAGGAUCAUACCCUGGUCCAAAGGCAGCACUAAACCACUGGGCCACUGGAGCUGCCCCUAGUCUAUUAACUUUUGAAACUGUGUCCCUGAUACACUCCCUCUACUGCUCCACCUAGGGCUUCUGGAAACUCUACAGCACCAUGCCUCUUGAGUGCAAAAGGUCAUUUUUGCUGCUCCUGCCUCACAGUGUGCCACAAGAAAGUCUGUGAGGCUCUCCCAGAUGGGCUUCCAUGCUAGGAUUUUUCAGAUUUUUAGGUUGCUGAUUCUUUCACUACUAUAGGACAUAGUAAGUACUCAGUAUUAUUGAACUAAAAUUCCCAGUCCAAAUCUCCAGUACUUCCUUGGCCUUUUGACUCUCAUUUGUUGAUUUGGGAACUCUGAACCUACCAGAUUGGGACUUGUGCUAAUUCCCUAUGGAUAAAAUACACACAGACCAACUGAUAUUAAGCACAUGUGACACACAGAUACUACCAUUUGAAAACACCACCCAAUUAGAAGUGACUCUGAGCUCACCUGGAAUGAGCUCAGAAUGAGCUCAGAGAGGACUCUGUAUUAGAGUCCUCUCUUCCACAACUGCUGGAAGGACAGAGAAAAUGAGACGGGAAGCAUAUGUUACAGGAAUCCCUUGACCUGGAGCAGGAGGCUUGAUUGACUCCAGUGGAUACUUGUGCAUCAUGGAGUCAGUAUUUCCUACAAAUUUACCAAGGGUUCUCUCUAGGUAUUAAAAGAAAAGCUUUAUUCUUUUCCAGUUGAGUCAGGAGACAUAAUCCAGACUGAUUGUCUGAAGACAGCUGACCUCUCAAGGCCUCUUAGGAGACAUACACCAAGAUGGGCUUUGUGCAAAUAACACCAUGGGAAGAAAAUAGUACCUUUCUGUCUAUUGCUGGUUGGCAUCUGCUUUUCUCUCCUGGAAAGGCUUGUUUCUGCCUAUUUAAAUCACAAAGCAGUUAGUCAUGAAUAGUAUCUAAAUUUGUGUUCAAUGCUGACCACAUUAGUCGUGUUGAAUAAAUGAAAAAUAAGAUUUCAUUUUGGAGCAUUGGUCUAUGUCCUAGAAUUCAAGCAGUUGCUGGCUUUGCUGUAUUCACUGUCCCACUGCCAUUCAUAACAAAAGUGAAACAAUUAAUAUAAUAAUCCCUUUCAAAAUUAUACCUAUUGGCCUAAAUAGCUUUGCCAUAUAUAUAAAUGCUUUGGGUAAAUGCAGUUAUUUAAUAGUUUAAAUCUAGCCUCAUUUUGAUAAUAGAGCAUUGUUCAACUAUGAAAUGACUAAGUACCCUUUUCAUAUGUCCUGUGAGAAACACAAUAAGUUGAAUGUUGUGCUUACAUAGUGUCUGUUUCCUGAGCAGUCAGUUCAGAGCAAGCUCCGUGCAUUUCAUUAAUCUCAGCAUCCUCAAGAUAACACAAAAAUCCUCCUACUUUCUGGGCUUUUCUCCUGUGAUCUCUUCUCCUCAUUCCUGAAAGGCCUUCAGCUCCUGCUUCUCACAACUAACUUUCCUACUUUUCCCCUACUUGCUUUCCUCCUUCCUUCCUUUGUCUUUUUCUUUUUGGAAUAACUGCCUCCUUUAAUAGAGUCUGAUUUACUGGACAGGUCACAUGCCAACGCAUCAUCUGAGGACCACCGGGGAGCUAAGCAUCGGUUUCUGGUUGUGUAGCUUUCAUAACUACACUAUCCAUUGGAACGUAUAAAUCACAUUCAGGUCAGGUAGGGAAGAAGUUUCCAUCAGUGUCAUUUGUUAAAAAAAAAGAUCAGGGUAAGAAUCUAAAUAUAUAGUAGUAUAUACUAGUACAUAUGCUUUUAGCAAAAGAAAAUCAUUACAAUAGAGAACAAGAUUUAAAGCACCAGGUACACACUGACACAGUAUUUCCAAAAAACUCACUGGGAUUUAUUCCUUCUCAACCUGUCUUUGUUUUUGUUUGCUUGCUUUUUGUCUAAUGAACUUUUUAUUUUAGAAAGGUUUUAGAUUUAUAGAAACAUUGUAAAGGUAACAGAGAGUUCUCAUACCCUCCACACUCAUUUUCCCCUAUUAUUAAUCCCUUCUAUUCAUACAAUGCACUUAUCACAAUUAAUGAAUCAAUACCGAUACAUUAUUACUAACUGAAGCCUAUACUUUACUCAUACUUGCUUGGUUUUUACCUGAUUCCUUUUUUUUCUGUUCCAAAAUUCCAUCCAGGAUAAUAUGCUACAUUUAUUUGUCAUUUCUUCUUGGGUUCCUUCUGGUUUAGAUGGUUUCUCAAACUUUGUUUUUAAGGGCUUUACUGUUUUGAGGAUUAGUACUCAAGAUACUUUUUAAAACAUCUCUUAAUUGCCA
rnacentral:lncRNA from 1 species